UUGUUAAGUUACAAUACUUAAUACUUAUUACCUGAUGGUUAAUUAAAAAAAAACUCCGUUUCAUUUCUAUUACUCACGUUUCUGUUCUUGUUACAAUUUAAGUGCGCAAACAAAUUAUUGAAAUUCACACGCUCUAAAUACCAGACAGUACUUGUAAUGUAUAAAGUAUAAAGUAAUUAUACAAAAAACAGAUUCUCUGUAAAUGACCGAGCCAAGUAAAUGUUUAUAAGAUGUAACACAGAAGCACAAUUUGAACGUGUACUUGCUUUAAAUUAACUCAGGAUUUCAUUUCUCGUAACUUUACCUUCAAAGCUGUAGUUAAAGUCAUAAAUCAUAAUAGUAAAUAGUUUCUUUACUUAGCUUGGGUUCUGUCGUUGUUUACGGCGUACCUCGGUUAUACAACUUCUGAGUAAGGGACAAACUUUAAACAGUUACCAUCACAAAGAAAGACCAACGGCUAGUUUACAACCAAAGUUCGUGGGAAGGAAAAAAUUCAAUUCUCUCAACUAUUUUCCUCAUACUUUACCUACACAAAUUCAUUCUUUACAAACCUCAUUUCAUUUUAGUACCUUUAAAAAAGCCUUACAAUAAAAAGAUUUCCGGGCUGCAAAUAAAUAAACAAAAAAUGUAUUAUUUUAAAUCUCAGAACCGAAGGAGUAGAGCUUACAAUUAGACAAAGAAAAUAGUGUAUCCGGGAUUGAUUGUAAUCGUACAUGAUUCAACGAAAACCGGAUGUCUGUACACUGUACGCGAGUGAAUUUCGUAAUAAUUGUCUUGGGUUUUCUGUUUCAUUUUUCAUUUUCAUUUAUAUUAAUUGCGCAAGCGAUCUCUUUUAAAUGAAGGUCUAAUCGGUGCUUGCCGAAACUUAAAUAAAGUGGCUAGUAUAAGCCGAGACAAUUAAAUUUCUUGAUAAUAAAGCGGCCUACUUACGUUACAUUAAACACAAAGUAAAGGUAGUGACUUUGUGAGUGCAGACAAAGAUUAUGAUUGCAUUGAGAUAAAAAGUCGGGUGUAUCGAGGCGACUGUCUUUGUAAAUUUAAAUAAUCGGCCAGCAAAUAUACCAACGAUUUGCGCAAACGUCUUGAUCGCAGGGAUAUCAGGCAAACAUGAGCUAAGUAUAAUAUAUAGCUCACUAUCACAGUGUUGUUAUAUAUUUAUAUACAUAUGUAUAAUAGCAGUGAGUCACGAGACGACAGUGAACAACUCUGUGAACGUGAAUGCGGAGUUUGUAACACGCGCAUGUUGUUGCGCGUGUCAGUUUUACCACUCGGGAAUAAAAGUUAGUAUAACUAACUAAUAUAAUGUUAUGUUACAACAAAGCAACAAUCACACGACAAUGAUAGUAAUAAGUCCGAUGUGUAACACUAAUAAUAAUAUUAAUUUAAGUUUAAGUAACGUCAAGGCCGCCCGAAAUUUCUCAAAUGUCUUCUGGAGGAACCUAAGCGUUAUGUUGCGUGCUAUGAUGAAUAUUUUGUUUAUUUAGCCUUAAAUUUUAGAUAGUGGGAGCAGAAUUAUGCCGAUGGGCAUGUAACGGUACUCAAUGAUUAGCACACUAACCAACAUAAAGGGAAAGUAUACCAUUAUUAUAUAUUAAUUUGUUAUUAAAUAGCAACGUUUGACCUUAACAAGUUUCACAAAGAUUCAUUAAGAAUUUAGGCGCAAUCACACCCGCAUUAUAGCGCCUACAUAAAUUAAUUUUUGAAUGAAUGGUAGUUUUGAAACUUACUUUACUAUUCAAGAGAUAUAUUCUGGCAAAAUUGUCAGUAAAUUUCAUCAUGAAGACAAAUUCAAAAGAUAAUACUAAAGUUA
rnacentral:lncRNA from 1 species